rnacentral:rRNA from 1 species
GAAAGUAAUGAAGGGCGUACGGUGGAUGCCUAGGCUCUUACAGGCGAUGAAGGACGUGAUAAGCUGCGAAAAGCCGCGGUGAGGCGCAAAUGGCCCUUGACCCGCGGAUCUCCGAAUGGGACAACCCAAUAUCUUGAAGGGAUAUUAUCCCGCCGAUGCGGGAGGCGAACGCGGGGAACUGAAACAUCUUAGUACCCGCAGGAAAAGAAAAUAAAGAAUGAUUCCCCCAGUAGUGGCGAGCGACCGGGGAAGAGCCCAAACCGACGUUGUCUCGGCAUCGUCGGGGUUGUAGGACCGCGCCAUCGCAAGAAAGGCCGUGAGUGGAAGCGACUGGAAAGCCGCGCCAUAGAGGGUGACAGCCCCUUACACGAAGCAGCCUGAAGCGUAGCGGACUCCUGAGUAGCGCGGGACACGAGUAAUCCUGUGUGAAUCCGCCGGGCCCAUCCGGCAAGGCUAAAUACUCGUAAGAGACCGAUAGUGAACCAGUACCGUGAGGGAAAGGUGAAAAGGACCCCUUGCAGGGGAGUGAAAGAGUUCCUGAAACCGUACGCCUACAAGCGGUCGGAGCAUCUUGAAUGAUGUGACGGCGUGCCUUUUGCAUAAUGAACCUACGAGUUGCCGUCACCAGCGAGGUUAAGUGCGACGACGCACCGAGCCGCAGCGGAAGCGAGUCUUAAAAGGGCGCGAUAGUUGGUGGAGGCAGACGCGAAACCGAGUGAUCUACACUUGUCCAGGAUGAAGUCCCGGUAACACGGGAUGGAGGUCCGCACCAAUAAGCGUUGAAAAGCUUCUGGAUGAGGUGAGUGUAGGAGUGAAAGGCCAAUCAAACUCGGAGAUAGCUCGUACUCCCCGAAAGGCAUUUAGGUGCCGCCUGUGGCGUUCCCGACGUGAGGUAGAGCGACUGAUAGGAUGCGAGGGCUUCACCGCCUAUCAAGUCCUGACAAACUCCGAAUGCACGUCGGCCAAGCCAUGGAGUAAGGGCAUGGGUGCUAAGGUCCGUGCCCGAGAGGAGAAGAAUCCAGACCACCGGCUAAGGUCCCGAAAUACUGGUUAAGUUAGACUAACGCAGUCCGGCCCCCAAGACAGCUAGGAUGUUGGCUUGGAAGCAGCCAUUCAUUCAAAGAGUGCGUAACAGCUCACUAGUCGAGGAGCUGGGCGUGGAUAAUAAUCGGGUAUAAAACCAGUUACCGAAGCCGUGGGAUGCUCAAGCAUCGGUAGGGGAGCAUUGCAUGCGGCUUGGAAGGCGGGGCGCGAGCCCCUCUGGAGCGCAUGGAAACGCAAAUGUAGGUAUAAGUAACGACAAGGGGGGUGGGAUGCCCCCCCGCCGAAAGACCAAGGUUUCCUGAACAACGCUAAUCGGUUCAGGGUCAGUCGGGUCCUAAGCAUAAGCCGUAUGGCGAGGGCGAUGGAUGAAACGGUUAAUAUUCCGUUACUGUCUUGGUGUGUGACGCGGCGACGGAGUAGUGACACGGCCGCCUCCUGACGGAAAAGGGGGUUGAAGCGCAAAGGUGUCGAGGAAGGCAGGCAAAUCCACCUUCCGAGCCGAAGCGCGAUAGUACGCUGCGCCCUUUGGGGCAAGGCGAUAGUGCCGGUAAUCAGACUUCCAAGAAAACCCGCUAAACUUCAGCACCAAGUCACCCGUACUCCAAACGGACACACGUGGUCGGGUAGAAUAUACUAAGGCGCUUGGGAGAUUCACGGUUAAGGAACUAGGCAAAUUGACCCCGUACCUUCGGAAUAAGGGGUCCUCGCUUUUGCGAGGCGCAGAGAAUAGGUCCAGGCAACUGUUUAACAAAAACACAGGGCUGUGCCAAUUUGAAAGAAGAAGUAUACAGCCUGACACCUGCCCGGUGCCGGAAGGUUAAGAGGAGAGCUCAUCAGCGAUGAGAAGGCUUGAAUUGAAGCCCCGGUAAACGGCGGCCGUAACUAUAACGGUCCUAAGGUAGCGAAAUUCCUUGUCGG